rnacentral:lncRNA from 1 species
AAAAAAUUUCUCGGAUAGCUGGCACUUGGACCCAAAACUUUUAGGCUGCAAUGUCAUGUUUUCCUUUGUCUGGGAAUCAAAAGAUGGGUUUUCAAUCAAGCAAUUAACAAAAACCCAUAUAUGAUUCUUCACCUGAAAUGGUUUCACUGAAACUCCAGCUUUAUUCUUCUUUUUUACCACUUCUAUCAGUUUGCCCACAACCUGAUCCACCACGUAAUCAACAUGCCUACCACCCUUUGUGGUAGCUAUACUAUUUACAAAGCUGAUUUGCUGAAAUCCUUUUUCACUUAAAGUUAGGCACACAUCCCAUCGUUCAUUAACGACUUCAUGAAUAACUUUGAGUGCAACUCCAGUUUCAUCCAGCUUGUCCUUUACGUAAAGAUCUACGUAACUGCGAAAUCCAUUUACAGGUAACUUCUUCCCAUUCAACAUAACUUUGACUCCUUUGCACGAC